ACAUGUCUCUUAAACACUUAACAGUCUUACGUCUUGUUCUGCUUUCUCAUUUUCCUUUUCAAAAAUCAUCGGUUAACCAUUCCUCCUCAUAUAUUUCAUGAACAUCUUUUAUGUCUCAUCUGACCUAGCCGUCAAAAAAGUCCAUGAAGAAGAACAAUCAUUUAUCGUCGCUACAGUGAAUGCCAUUGCCGGAGACUGGAGUGAGCGUCAUAGCCGGCUUUACUGGAGUUAGCGUUGUUGCUGCCUUCCUGUAUCUCUGCAACGCCAAGAAUUCUUAAUUGAAUAUCGGUUCUUAUCCUCUCAUCUUCACAGGUUGCCAAGAUCAUGUCAAUGAAAUCAUUUGACUGUUGCAGGCUCUAUCUCACGUCGAUGGUGACGAUGAUUUUGGUGGUGGUAAGCGGCCAUGUAUUUAUCCUCCACACCGGUCAUGCCUCCACAUGCUACAUAAACGUUUACAAGAGUGUAAUGGGGUGAAGUGUAAAAUCUGAAGUUCUUGCUAAAGUCCAGAAGUUCACGAAAUGGGCAUUGAAAUUUAUAGGAAUUCAUUCCCAUUUUCAAAAUAAUAAAGAAAAAGUGAAUCAAAAUUUUGUUGUUCAGGUUAAAUUACAUUUUUCAGUUGUAUAGCCUUUCUUGGAUCUUGUCGGGAAUCAUUUAACAGGGAAUGAUUACAUAGAAGCAUUUGAUUCAA